rnacentral:lncRNA from 1 species
AAAAUAAGUGUGACUUUAGAUCUUUUAAAUGCUUUCUAUAUAAAUAAUUUCACAAGUCCAACAAAAUACAAUAUGGGAUUAAGUUUCCAGACAAUAUUUAAACCUACCUAUCCAAGACCCUCCGUGAACUUCAAGUAGACAAAAGCUACCACAGAGGUCUGUGGUCUGCAUGAGGCUGAAACACCUGAUGUGUCUUCUGCUGUACCCACAGUCCGGAGUGCAGAGGCACAGGAUCUUCCUCCCUGAGGAGACACAAGGCACAAUCCCUGAGACACA